UAAUCAUGUAAUCUUGCUUUCUUCAUCAAUACUAUUUGGUGCUUUCAAACACCAUGCCACUUGGUCAUUGACCUCUAAUGAGAACACUGGGUUUGCAAUGUUUUUUGAAAUUCCAUCCACGCAAAAUGCAUAGUUGCUAAUGGUCCAUUUGUAGCAGAGUUUCUGAACACAGAUAUGUGUAUAGCCACAGUUCUUGACUUCCAGGUCCCCUGACAUUUCUGCUGGAGGUAGUUUGGAGGUUGAUUUAGUCCAUGAGGUUUGAAGUUUCAGGUGUUCUUCAGUAUAUGCCAGAAUUCUGAGAAGUAGGUUCUAAUGUCAGGGAAGAAAUGGGCUUGCUGGUAAGAUGAGAGCAAGCAGAAAAAGACAAAGCUUCCUUCUUCUAUGUGUUUAUAUAGACCUCAUAGUCUGCAUCCUCCACUGGUGAGUUCUAUCCUCUUCAGACUUGGAACUACCAUGCUUCCUCUGUUGGUCAGGUUCAGAGGCUCAGUCUAUCAUCAUCAAGGUAGGAGCACAGCAGCGUCUAGGCAGGCAUGGUGCAGGCAGAGCCCUAUGAUGCCUCCCUAGGUUUCAUCUUUUCUAAGUGAGGGCAGAGGCUACCCCAAUAGUGUUCUGAGGCUGUGUUUAGUGUUAAGUAAGCUGUGACACAAAGACUCCUGGGGUAUCUCACAAACCCUUUCCUCAUGCCCAAGUUGCAGCCCAAAUCCCAAAGGCACUGCCAUUUUGUCUUCUUCAGUUCUUUGACAAAAGACUGUAAAUGUGCUGUCUCUGCAAGUCUCCUUGUGUCUAGAUUCUUUUCAGACUAUAUGUAAUUAGAAAUUGAAAAGUGUAUUCUAAACCUAACCAAGAUCUUCAAAGUUAGCUUAAAAGAAACAUUUAUCGGUCAAAAUCUUACUAAGUAUUGCCAUGUAUUUUAUCCCAGGAAGCUACAAUGAGUCAUCAAAGAAUCUACUUCAGGAGACUCUGAGUGUUACGAUUAUCUGGCCUGGCAAGUGAGUGUGCCUACAAGCUGUGCUUGUAAGAGACAAGCUACUUUACAGACCCGGAGGCACCAACAUCCUCAGACAGUACAACUUUGGAGGCAUAAAAAGUGGAUGGCUGGAAUGUUAAAUAGAUGGAGUAAACCCAGCACUUAGCAAACAGCAGGCAACUAAGAUGCAGGUGACUACUGACCCCAGCGUGCAAACACACAUCUCAGCAGUAAGGUAUAAACGUUCUUGCCCCUUUAAGGAAAACAUUUAAGCUUACCUGCUUUUCCUGAUAUCAAUACACACUAUCACCUGGACUGCAGUUUUUGUCAUAUAAUUCUACCCUUCACUUUAUGCCUAUGUACAUGCAUGGAGACAGACAGACACACAGGCAGGCACUAAUCAGUACAUGUAAAAACAACUACAACAACAACAACAACAACAAAAUCGCCUAGCUGAUUGUUUUUAUGGAUGCAUUCAGGACUUAAGAGAUGCUGAAUCUGAUUCCUCCAUUCAGGUAGACACAAAGUUGAGUUCUAGGGACCAGAUCAGUUCACAUCCUUGGGUAGCAGUGACAUUUCAGUAUUUGAAUCCCUUCUGGUUGUUAUCUGUCCAAAUGAUAAAUUGGUAAGACGCCACUACUUGGCCAGUGGGUCUUUAUGUGUGUUGCUUUAAAAGGAAAGCUCUUCUGGAAAUCCCACAGUACUUCUAAGCUUUCUAGUUUCUACUUCUCAAAUUUUAGAUGGCAAUUCUGUCCACAGAACACAUCCUUAAUAUGAAGGGGAACCGCAAGCAUUCUCAUUUUUGAUGGGACUGAGGUCACACUGCUCGUCCAUGGUAAAGGAAACGGAAGAGUUAAGUGUUCUUCCCAAACAGGAUACUACUAGAACCCCACAGGGUAGGAAACACAAUCUGCAAUUAAGAUUUGGACGACUUGAAAGUGCUCCUUAACUCAGGGAAAGGACAAACUGUGAGACUUACAGGUAAAGUUCAUAUUGGCCUCCUAGGGGCCUCACCAUGUUAGCUACAGCUGUGGAGAAACCACUGCCAAUCACCAAGUUGCACACACUUAGGAACCUAAGGUUGUCCUAUAUCACACAGGACCUCUAUUAGUCCAUACCCAUGCCCAGACACCUCAACAAAUCUAUUCAAUGCAGAAUCCGUAAACAGCUCACACCCCAUUUAUUAUUUAAAAAUAUUUUGUUACAAAAGGAAAAAAAUACAAUGCAGUAUAAAAGAUUGACAUCGUCAUCAAGUUUAUUACACAAUUCUCAACCUAUCAGAAAGACAAACAAAUCACCGACAACAGGGGUGGGGCCUUGACCUUUUGAGGACUGGGAUGCUUUUCUCCUUUUGCUAUGAGGAAUAAAACUAAAAAUUAUGUCACUGAGUAAAAAUAAAAGUGGGGAGAAAAUAAUUCUCUGGGUAAACAGCUUUUCUGAUAUUUUAUAUGUUGUUUUUCCUUAACUGUCACUUUCCUUUUUUUUUUUUUUUCAUUUUUUUCUUUUUUAAAAAGACACCCGAGUUGCUUUCAAGAAUAAGCAUAUCACUUAACCCUUAGAAAAUUAGGCAGGAUGCCAUGUUGAUGGAAUAGGGAUUGGUUUAGG
rnacentral:sRNA from 1 species